rnacentral:lncRNA from 1 species
UAGUAUUAUGAUACCCAGCAGCCCCAGGCUGCUUCCAAACUGCCACUUCCUUGUGUAUCCUGACAGUGGCUGCCCUCACCCUGAUCAGAUGCAGGGCCAGGUUCUAGAAGGCUCUACCCAUGCUUAUAUGCACACUCUCAUCAGCAACAGCAACCUCUGCCUUAGUGUAGAGUUGGACCAAAGCAAGAGGGGCUAGAACAGGCACCCAGUGCAAGCUGGGUGAAUAUUGGGCCAGUUGCAGGAAACUAGCAAAAGCAUCAGGUUUUCAGUCUGCUUCCUUCAACUUUUUCCUAGGAGUAAGCAAGCCUGUGUGCUCUUCAUGAACAGAAUAUUGAUUUCUUACAGUCUUCUGGUAAGUCCCCACUGGUUUUCAACCAGCCAAGGGGGCUCAUCUUCCCAGUGUUAGACCCAGGACUAUGGUGCCUAAUAUAUGGCUUGAACCUCUCACUCCCAGGAAGAACCACCCCCUCCAGUCUAUGAUCUCCUCCUCCUCUUCUGUGUCCCCUGCUAGGGGCACAGUUCUGACCUGAUAACUUCUCCUCCCUUUUUAUCUGACUCUGUGUGGAUUUUUCUUUACAGCCUUGCUUAUAGAAGAGGUUUUCUGCCAACCUCCAGUUUAUUUUCAGUGAGAGUUGUUCCACAUGUAGAUGUAUUUUUGAUAUAUUCCUGGGGGUUGGGGAGACAGGUAAGCACUAAAUCCUCCUACUCCACCAUCUUGAUCUCCCUCCAAGACAUUUUUUUACAUGACAAAGAUAAAAGAAUCUGUCUCUAGGAGACCUCCACUACUACAAGUUCUUCAGCCUGAAGGGAAAUGUUAGUAAGGGAAAUAAUGGAUGCUUUCUCUUAAGAAAGGAAUGAAGAUGAAUUUAAAUUUUUUUUUGUCUUUUUAGGGCCACAUCUGUAGCACAUGGAAGUUCCCAUGCUAGGGAUUGAAUCCUAACUGCAGCUGCUGGCCUACCACAGCAUGGCAACACCAGAUCAGAGCCACGUCUGUGACAUAUGCCAAAGCUCAUGGCAAUGCCAGAUCCUUAACCCACUUUGCAAGGCCAGGGAUCACACCUGCACCCUCAUGGAUACUAGUCAGGUUCAUUAUACUGAGCCACCAUGGGAACUCCUAUAUUUAAAUUUCUUUAAAAGACUAUGAACUAUUGCAAAUAAAAGAUAAUUUAGACAAUAUAAUGUGGGAUUUAUAGCAUAUGUAGCAAAGGUGUGGAUAUACUCUUAUAAAAAACUGUCAUGUUGUUUAUGAAAUAGUAUAUUAUUUGAAGGGAAGCUUAAAACUACAUCACUAGAGAAACGCUAAUGAUAUAACUAAAAAGUUAAUAUAGGAGAUAAAUUUGAAAACAUUGGAAUUAAGGUCCUCAUACAGAGGAAGCCAGAAAAGGAAACACAGAGAAAAAGAAAUGUGGGAUAAAUCCAUAACAUGAUAAAAGAAUUAAGCCAAACUGUAACAAAAAUUAUAUUUCAUGUUGUGGACUAAACACAAGUCAAAAAUUCUUGCACUGAUAAAAAGCAAGAUCCAACCCACUUUGAAUAUAAAGACAGAGACUAGUUGAAAAUAAAUACAUUGAGAAAAAAGCUACACCAAGUUUUAGUUCCAAUGGAGAAAAAGCUUAGGAACUCAUAUGGAGGUUCCCAGGUUAGGGGUCUAAUCGGAACUGUUGCUGCAGCCACAGCAAUGCCAGAACCAAGUCGCAUCUGUGACCUACGCCACAGCUCAUGGCAAUGCUGGAUCCUUAACCCACUGAGCAAGUCCAGGGAUUGAACCCACAACUUCAUGGUUCCUAGUCAGAUUCAUUUCCACUGCACCAUGACAGGAACUCUGAAAACCAGUUACUUUUCAUGGCCUAAUUAGAGCACUGAGGUCUCAAGGCAAACAUAUCCCAAAAUCUAAGAAGUCAGGAGCAUCUAGGGAGACACAGUCUCCAAGAUCUGUUUACCUAGACAGAAAUGCUAGAGCCAUAAUACACUGGCUGGGAAUAUUUAAGGAGUAAUUUUGACUAAUUUCUAGAUACCAUGUAUGGGGGAUUCAAGUAGUAUAAAAUAAAUAUCCAUGAGUCCAUACUUAUAUAAAUAAAUACAUAAAUAAGAGAGAAGAGACAAAUCUCCCAUGCAUGAAACUAAAACAAUUUGUACAGAUAUUCUGCCAAAGGAGGUAUAGAGUAAUUCCUCAUUCUAUAUAUGUAGGCUGUACCUGGUGAUUUCCUUCCACAGAGGACAGAUGGAAAGGUAGAGGGGGAAGAAAAAGAGGAAUGUUUUAGUGGAGAAACCUGACAAACACCACAUCAGACAGGUGAUAAAUGUCAACAUAAAUAGUGAUAAAUUCUGUUGAUAGUGUGUAUUUUUGAUAUAAUGUAAUAAAAAUGGCACAUUUCUUCUGUGGUCUUCCUGUCCAAAAUCCAUAACCACAGCCUAAUCAUGAGAAAAACUUCAGACAAAUCCCAGAUGAGAGACAUUCUACAAAAUGACUGACCCGUAAUCCUUGAAACUAUCAAGGCCAUCAAAACAAGUCAGAGAAACUGUCACAACCAAGAGUAGCCUAAGGAGAUCUGUCUUCUAAAUAUAAUAUGGUUUCCUAGAUAGAAUUCUGGAAGAGAAAAUAGAUUUUAAGGAAAAAUUAAAGAAAAUUGAAUAAAGAGGGACUUUAGUUAAUAAUAAUAUAUCAGUAUGAAUUGAUUAAUUGUGAUAAAUAUACCAUACUAAUAAAAGAUGAUAAUAGGGAAAACUGGAUGAGGGUUAUAAUGUAACUCUAUACUAUCUUUUCAAUUUGCCUAUAAAUCUAACUCUAAAAUAAAAAUCUUAUUUAAACAACACAAACAGACAAUAACAAAGAGUAGUAGAUUCCAGAAUGGCCUGAUCACGUGAAAGGAGACAUAACUGUUAGGAGAGAGAAGACUGAAUUCACAGGUCAAAACAAUAAAGAAGGUGGCUGGGGUAAAGCCAAUAAAAAUAUUUUUCUUUCACUUUCCCCAAACUAAAGAUGAUUUAAGAACUAUCUUUAGUUUCAUAUUAGGGUUUUUCUUCAAAAGUUGAGCAGGGAAAAGAAUGAUUAACAUUUUUACUGUACUUUAUGAGAGAUUAUCAAGUCAAACUGAAACACUGAGAUUUACUACACAUGUCAUGUCUAAACUUUAUAAAAUUGGUAUAUAGGAAAUAAGCUGAGAUGGGUGUGUGAUAGUGUGUCUAUUCCAGCACAGGAAUAGACAUCAUGUGAGGGGAGGGUGCUCUUACAGAGUAGGAAGGUUCAUGGUGGAAAAAUCAUAAACCCAGGAGCUCGGCAUUGGGAGGAAAAAAAUCUUAACCUUUUGGCAAAUUGUGAUGAAAAUUUUUUUCUUAAACAUACCACCUUCUCUUUUCAAACAGCCAGAAUACAUAUUUCUUUUAGCCUCAGUGAGAGUAAAUAAGCAGCCCAGAUAAAAUUUUAUUGCAACAGUAAGCCACAAUCCAACUAUAUGGAAAGCAAAAUCACUUUCAGUAUCCCAGCAUAAUAAAACAGAGUUAAAAAAAAAGAAGAUAUAACAUGCAGAUCCUAAGCUCAAGAAAAAUAGCAUGAGAUCAUUAAAAAAAAAACCCUUCAAAAAAAUGAAAAAAUAUAUUUAGAAUAAUGUACAAUAUUUUCUAAUGAUAAUCAAUUUAACAGUAAGACUUUAAUAUUUUUCCCCCUUGGGAAUUUUUUUUAAUUUUUAAAAUUUGUUAUUAUGAUUGAUUUACAAUAUUCUGUUAAUUUCUGUUUCACAGCAAAAGUGACCCAGUCAUAAAUAUGUACACAUUAUUUUUCUCACGUUAUCCUCCAUAAUGUUCCAUUGCAAGCAGUUAAAUAUCUAGUUCCCUGUGCUAUACAGCAGGAUCUCAUUGCCCAUAUACUCCAAAUGCAAGAGUUUUCAUUUACUAACCACCAAUUUCCAAUCCAUCCCAUUCCCCUCCCUCCCUCCAGCAAACACAAGUCUGUCCUACAUGUCCAUGAUCUUUUCUGUUUUCUUGAUAAUCAUUUGUGCCAUAUUUUAGAUUCCACAUAUAAGUGAUAUCAUAUGAUAUCUUUAUGUCUUUUUCUGACUUAUUUCAUUAAGUAUGAGCAUUUCUAUUUCCAUCCAUGUUGCUGCAAAUGGCAUUAUUUUGUCUUUUUUUAUGCUGAGUAGUAUUCCAUUGUAUACAUGUACCACAUCUUCCUAAUGCAUUCAUCUGUCAGUGUGCAUUUAGGUUGUUUCCAUGUCUUGGCUCUUGUGAAUAGUGCUGUGAUGAACAUACAGGUGCAUGUAUCUUUUUCAAUGAAAUUUUUGUCUGGAUGUACACCCAGGAGUGGGAUUGCUGAAUCAUAUGGUAGUUGUAUAUUUAGUUUUCUGAGGUAUUUCCAUACCAUUUUUCAUAAUGGUGUACCAAUAUACAUUCCCACCAACAGUGUAGGAGGGUUCCCUUUUCCCCACACCUCCAGCAUUUGUUAUUUGUUGACAUGGUAGUGAUGGUCUCUCUAACUGGUGUGAGGUGGUACCCCAUUGUAGUUUUGAUUUGAUUUCUCUAAUAAUUAGUGAUGUUGAGCAUUUUUUCAUGUGUCUCCUGGCUAACUGUAUGUCUUGGAGAAAUGUCUGUUUAGGUCUUCUGCCUGUUUUUCAACUGCAUUCUUUAUUUUUUGUUGUCAAGUUCUAUGAGUUAUUUGUAUAUUUUGGAUAUUUAAACCUUUAUCAGCUGAGCCAUUUGCAAAAAUUUUUUCCCAUUCUAUAGGUUGUCUUUUCCUUUUUAAAAUAGUUUCCCUUACUGUGAAGAAGCUUUUGAGUUUAAUUAGCUCCUAUUGAUUUAUUUGUGUCUUUAUUGUCUUUAUUCUAGAAGGUAGAUUAAACAAGAAGUUGCUGUGAUCUAUGUCAAGCAGCAUUCUCCCUAUGUUUUCCUCUAGGAGUCUUAUAGUGUCUGGGCUUACAUUUAGGUCUUUAAUCUGUUUUGAGAUUAUUUUUGUAUAUGGUGUUAGACAGUGUUCUAAUUUCAUUCUCUUACAUGCAGUUGUCCAGUUUUCCCAGCACCAUUUACUGAAGAGACUAUCUUUCCUCCACUGUAUGUUCUUGUCUCCUUUGUCAUAGAUUAAUUGACCAUAGGUGUUUGGGUUUAUUUCUGGGUUUUCUAUCCUAUUCCAUUGAUCUUUAUUUCUGGUUUUGUGCUAGUACCAUACCAUCUUGAUGACUGUAGCUUUGUUGUAGAGUCUGAAGUCAGGGAGCCUUAUUCCUCCAGUUCUGUGUUUUCUCUUCAAUAUUGCUUUGGCUAUUUGAGGUCUUUUGUGUUUCCAUGCAGAUUUAAAAAUGUUAUGUUCUAGUUCUGUAAGGCAUGUCAUUGGUAAUUUGAUAGGGAUUGCAUUGAAUCUGUAUAUUGCCUUAGAUAGUAUUGUCAUUUUGAUUAUAUUGAUUCUUCCAAUCUAAGAGCAUUGUAUAUUUUUCCAUCUAUUUGUAUCUUCUUUGCUUACUUUUAUCAGUGUCUUAUAGUUUUCAGAGUACAGGUCUUUUGUCUCUUUAGUUAGGUUAAUUCCUAGGUAUUUUUUUCUUUUUUAUGCAGUGGUAAAUGGGAUUGUUUCCCUAAUUUCUCUUUCUGAUCUUUCACUGUUAGUGUAUAGAAAUCCAUUCAGGAGUUCCUGUUGUGGCUCAGUGGUUAAAGAAACCAACUAGGAACCAUGAGGUUGUGGGUUUGAUCCCCUUGCUCAGUGGGUUAAGGAUCCAGUGUUGCCAUGAGCUGUGGUGUAGGUCACAGACACGGCUUGGAUCUGGCAUUGCUGUGGCUCUGGCAUAGGCUGGCAGCUACAGCUCCAAUUAGACCCCUAGCCUUGGAACCUCCACAUGCCA